rnacentral:rRNA from 1 species
UUCCGGUUGAUCCUGCCGGACCUGACUGCUAUCGGAUUGAUACUAAGCCAUGUGAGUCUUUGUAGCAAUACAAGGCAUACGGCUCAGUAACACGUAGUCAACCUACCUUAUAGACGGGGAUAACCUCGGGAAACUGAGAAUAAUACCCGAUAGAUCAUUAUGCCUGGAAUGGCUUAUGGUUAAAAUGAAUUUCGCUAUAGGAUGGGACUGCGGUCUAUCAGCUUGUUGGUGAGGUAAUGGCCCACCAAGGCUAUAACAGAUACGGGCUCUGAGAGGAGAAGCCCGGAGAUGGGUACUGAGACACGGACCCAGGUCCUAUGGGGCGCAGCAGGCGAGAAAACUUUGCAAUGUGCGAAAGCACGACAAGGUUAAUCCGAGUGUUUCCUGCUAAAGGAAUCUUUUGUUAGUCGUAAAACCACUAUCGAAUAAGGGGUGGGCAAGUUCUGGUGUCAGCCGCCGCGGUAAAACCAGCACCUCAAGUGGUCAGGAGGAUUAUUGGGCCUAAAGCAUCCGUAGCCUGCUUUGUUAGUUUUCGGUUAAAUCCAUAUGCUCAACAUAUGGGCUGCCGGGAAUACUGCAUAGCUAGGGAGUGGGAGAGGUAGACGGUACUCCGUAGGAAGGGGUAAAAUCCUUUGAUCUAUGGAUGACCACCUGUGGCGAAGGCGGUCUACCAGAACACGUCCGACGGUGAGGGAUGAAAGCUGGGGGAGCAAACCGGAUUAGAUACCCGGGUAGUCCCAGCUGUAAACUAUGCAAACUCAGUGAUGCAUUGGCUUGUGGCCAGUGCAGUGCCGCAGAGAAGUCGUUAAGUUUGCCGCCUGGGAAGUACGUACGCAAGUAUGAAACUUAAAGGAAUUGGCGGGGGA